rnacentral:rRNA from 1 species
UACAUGGGGUGCAAACGUUGCUCGGAAUUAUUGGGCGUAAAGCGCGCGUAGGCGGUUACUCAAGUCGGAUGUGAAAGCCCUCGGCUUAACUGAGGAAGUGCACCCGAAACUGAGUAGCUAGAGUACUAAAGAGGGUCGCGGAAUUCCCGGUGUAGAGGUGAAAUUCGUAGAUAUCGGGGAGGAACACCGGUGGCGAAGGCGGCGACCUGGGUAGAUACUGACGCUGAGGCGCGAAAGCGUGGGGGAGCAAACAGG